CCUAAGCCUUUAACACAUGACCCUCUGGGAGACAUCCGGGAACCAGGCUGUAAUGCUGUCUUUCCUUUUAUAGAAAGGUACUCAUACAAUUAAAGGGAGAGCAAGGAUCAAAAAAGGCAGGGAAAGCAUCUCCGAAGGCCCGAAAUGCUGACAAUGUCCGUGUAUUUCAAGUGCCUCUGUCUCUCCAAGUGAUAUCUCCACCAUGUACCACACAGCAAGAAGGCCCUUGCCAG